rnacentral:lncRNA from 1 species
UGUGCAUUUGAUUUCCUUUUCUUGCCCUAUUGUAUUGACUAGAACAUGAAGAACAUCUUGAAGAACGUUGAUGACGGUGGGCACUCUUGCCUUGUGACCUUUGGUGGAAAAAUUUCUUUCACAAUAUGCUGUAGAAUGUGUGAUGACCAGCUGCCAAAGUUUGCCUGAAGCUGAAAGAUAUCCUGGAUCAGGCUUUUAGUGCUCAAACUCCAGUCCUCAGAAAACCUGGAUGGUUGGCUAUCCUGAAUCUAUCACAACAAAACCAGAAGUGUAUGCAAAGUAGAUGGACAAUUCCUAUACUACCAGCCUCUGCCAUGUAACUACAUCUUAAAUUUAAGCAAUAGUAAUUAGUCCAGAUUCUUAGAUAGGAUUCAGUAUAUUCUGUUUUUCUUUAUGAGUGUAUUUCUUUAUAGAGCAACUGCUGUUGGAGGACCUGUGGUUAUUUUCAAGUGAAAUAUAUAUGCACCAAGAAAAUCACCAUUUAGAAUUAAUGAUAAUGUUCAUAAAGUUCUUGCGUUUUUAAUUAAGGGGAGAUCAUAAUUGAAUUUUGAGUCAGAUUAAAAAGGAAAACAUAAACGUAAUAAGAAGCUGAGCAGAUGGUGGUCACAGACACUAAAGAAAGGGAGAUGUAAUAAGAAAAAAUACACAGUUAAAAUCUACCUGUUUCUGUUUAUUUCUAAAGGCCUAUUUCAUUUCCAGAGUCCAUUAAAUUUAAGGUAGCAACUCAGGAAAAACCAAGACAAUCAGAUGCUAAUCUAGGAUAAUUUGUUUCAGUUGGAGUAUUGAUUGAACCAUACAAUAUUUGUAGUCAAAUACUUUACAUUAUUUAUGAGCAUUUGCUAGUAAGCAUUUUAUGCAUAGCUUCAGUUAUAUUAACAAAGAAAAACAACACUGACAAUAGUAAACAAAUGCUUGGGAAGUUCUCUGAAAGUCUUUUUUUUCAUAUGCAGAAACAUUAAAUCUGCCCUUUAAUCAAUUAAAUAUCCAGAUAUUGUUCCAUUUCUUUGCUUUC